rfam:Aspergillus glaucus CBS 516.65 unplaced genomic scaffold ASPGLscaffold_5, whole genome shotgun sequence.
UCAAAUGAUGAUUCAACCUGAUAGGGACAUCAGAUGCGAAAGCACAUGAUGGUAAACAGGAAGGAGAAUUUUAGUAGAUGCUCCGAAAUCUGAAA